UUUAAUUAAAAUAACAAAAGUUUUAGUUAAUAUGAUCGAUACAGAGAAGAUUAGCAUGGCCCCUGCGCAAGGAUGCCACCCAAAUUAAUCAUGAAGCGUUCCACAUUUUU